AAUAGGUUGUAUGGGUCUAUUCCUUCCUGCUUCAAUUCUUCAUCAUUGCUCUUUCUGUUUUUACAAAAGAACAAUCUAAGUGGACCCAUACCCCAUGAGCUUCUUAGAAGUCCUAAUUUAGUGGCACUUGAUCUGAGGGAUAACAAUUUUUCUGGAAAUAUUCCAUCUUGGAUCGGUCAGUUCUCUGAAUUGCAAGUGCUUUCAUGGGGAGGGAAUGCAUUACACGGCCGUAUUCCUAAUCAGUUGUGUGAAUUAAGAAAUGCGAAUAUAAUGGAUCUUUCACACAACUUACUUUUUGGUUCCGUACCUGCAUGCUUUAGUAACAUUUCUUUUGGCAAUAAUAUAUCAUUUGGGAUGAUGGAAGUAUUUGAUAAAAUCGCUCCUAAUCUCUAUUUGCCAUGGGUAGAUUGGGAUUCUUCAGAAAUUGUGGAAGUGGAAUUUGCAACGAAAUAUAGAUACAACUCCUACAAGGGUGAUAUUAUCAACUCAAUGGCAGGAAUAGAUCUAUCAUGCAAUGAGUUAAGUGGCAGCAUUCCUCAAGAAAUUGGAGACCUGCAUCAAAUUCGAUCAUUGAAUUUGUCUCACAAUCAUAUAACAGGANNNNNNNNNNNNNNNNNNNNNNNNNNNNNNNNNNNNNNNNNNNNNNNNNNNNNNNNNNNNNNNNNNNNNNNNNNNNNNNNNNNNNNNNNNNNNNNNNNNNNNNNNNNNNNNNNNNNNNNNNNNNNNNNNNNNNNNNNNNNNNNNNNNNNNNNNNNNNUCAGGUAGGGUUCCUGAUGGAGCGCAAUUUGGAACUUUCGAUGAAAACAAUUACAGAGGUAAUCCUGGUCUCUGUGGAGAACGCAUUCAUAAGAGCUGCAAAAGUGAUGAAGCUCCACAAACACCGCCACCAUCUGCUGAUGUAGAAGAGGAAGAUGAAGGGGGUAUUGAUAUGGUGUGGUUCUACUGGAGUUUCAGUGGAGCCUAUGUCACAAUCCUAUUGGUGUUGGCAGCAAUCCUCCACAUCAACAGGCAUUGGCGCAUGUUGUGGUUUUAUUAUGUUGAUGUUUGUAUUUAUUCAAUUUCCAUGUGGGUUUGUCAGAACUGAUUUCAAGCAAUAGUCUGACAAAAAGACACAUUGUAAUACAACAUAUAUGUAUACAUUUGGUUUUAAUGUUGAUGUUGCCCUUAUUUUGCUUCUGGUAGAAUUCUGGUUUCUAAGGAUGUUGGUCUAGUGGAAAUGGAAGAACCUUAGGGCAAUAUGGAUACUGCUCUCUAGUGUUUAGGAAGGAAAAGAACUCUAGAUUGAUGCAAUUUUAAAGGACUGGUUCUUGGGUUUACUUUGCUGCAAGAAUGCUAGGGCCAUGAGGUGCUUUCAUGGCUUCUGAAUGACGGAGUGAGCAAAUAAAAAGGUCAGAAGAAUAUGGAAUGUAAGGGAAGAUUCAUUCGCUGUACCAGAUAUGUUAUUUCAAGCCGAAUAUCUUAUCUUUUAGCUCUAUUUUUUUUUAUAUUUAACUAUUGUUCUAAUUUUUGCAAAUCUUUAUUGUCGUUUGGAUAGUGUUGUUAAUACUUUGUGUUUCUUUGAGUUUGCUGUUGAUUUUCUAACAUGUACUCUAAAUGUUUCCUCUUAAUUUAUGCAACUUGAAAAACUUGGAAUUGCUUUUUCAAUGUAUUUGAUAGCAAUCUAAUUUUGUUAUUUUAUUUUUUUAAAAUUAUUUUAGAUGUAAUAAUUUUUUAAUUUCUAUAAAAUUAAAAUUAGUCAUAUUUAUGAAAAAAUUAAAUUAAUAUGUAUAAAUUAUUUUAAAUUUUAAUUUGUGUAAAAUUUUAAAAAGUCAUAUUUUAAAAAAAAUUAAAAUAAUGUGUAAAAUAUAUUUUAUUUUUUAAUUUUUAUAAAAUUAAAUUAGUCGCAUUUCUGAAAAUAAUUAAAAUAAUAUGUAAAAUUAUUUUAUUAUUUUAUUUUAUUUUUAAUUUCUAAAAAAAUUAAAAUUAAAAUUUUUAUUUUAAAAUUAAACUUUUUCAAAAAUUUAGAAGAUUUAAAAGUGUAUAAUUUAUAAAAUUAAUUAAAUAUUUUUUACUUCAUUAUUAUUAUUUGAAAUUUAAUAUGUAAAUUUAAUUAUUUUAUUUUCAUUUAAUUUUUUAUGAUACUUUAUGAUUUAUAUUUUUUAAUUGUACUUUUAUUAUAUUGAUAAAUUUACAGUUGAAACUUUGAUGAUUUUUAAUUGUAUUUCAUAAUUAAUAUACCAUUAACUAGUAAAUUGAUUUUAAUGGUUAAUAGAGUGUGAAAAUAAUAGAUGAUUUUCUUUUUUGAAAUGGAAAUUAAAGAGUAGAAUCUAAAACCUCUCAAAUUCACUUAAUGCACUUACCACUAAAUUGAAUUUAUAAGUGUAAAAUAAUAGAUAAUUUAAAUGAUUAAUCCUUAGUUAAUUAAUAAAAUAAUAUAUAGUUUGAAUUGAAUUGAAUUUAAUUACAAAACUAUCUGUAACUAUAUCCAAAUUUGAUCCAAAUCAAUCCAUUUAAUUUUUCUGCUAUUUGUUCAGAAUUAAGGAAUUUAAGGAGUUUAGAAUUCUUGAAUGUUAGUAUUAACAGUUUCAAUAACACCAAUCAUUUCAAAGUAAACAGUAAAUUCUUUUGUGUGAUUUAUCUUUUCAUUUUUAAAUUGAUUAUUUUUAUAAAAAUUAAAUGGAUCUGUCAAAUGUUUUUAUGUAUGAUUUUACAAAAAAAUCAUGUAUAAAUCUAAAACUUUCUCAUCAUUUCAAGUAAUUAUUUUUAAGAUUUAAUUAUAUAGAUUGUGUAUAUCAUAAAAAUUUCAUAUUUUAUGUUAAAUAUGAUAUAUCAUUUAAAUAAAAUAUUAAGAUAAAUAAAAUAUGACUCAUAAUUUUUAUUAAAUUGUUUAUGAAUAAAAUAAGUCCCUAUCUACAAAAUUGAAAAUAAUGGAAAGACAAUUAUUAAUAUAUAAAAGAAAUUAAAUAAUAUAAUAUUUAUUAAAAAAUUUUAUGUACAGUUAAAGAGCUGGAGAAUUGACCAAACAUUACCACAAAAAAUUUAUAACUCUAAAUUUAAAAAAUAUAUUAUUAUUUAUCUAACCUACUUAAAAGUGAAAUUAAAAUAAUAUUUUGUUUUUUAAUUAUGAAUCAGGAAAGUAGAAUCUAAAAUCUCUCAAAUUUAAUAUAUUUACCACCAGACUAAACUUGUGAAUGCAGAAAAUAACAUUAAAAUCCUAAUUAAUAGAUAGCAAUACAUCUUUUAUAAUAUUUUAUCAAAAUAUAUUUUGAAAAUAGGAAAUAUAGGAUUAAUUUCAAUUUUAGAAUUUAUAUGUUUUAUAUGAUUAUUAUAAUUAGGUUAUUAAUUGUUAAUUAUACAAUUAUGUAAUAAUUUAAUUAUUGUGAGUAUACAUUUUUAUAGUCUAUAUACUACUUUAUACUAAAAUUAUAAAAUCAUUUUAAUUAUAUUUUUGAAUAAUUUAAAUAUGUACUAAAACUGACAUAAUUCUUUUAAAAAAAUUAAAAUGCACAAAUAUAUAUUUCGCUAUGCUGUCUAUAUAUUUUAAAUGCACAAACAUUUAAAAUAUAUAUUUCGCUAUGCUGUAUAACAUUUAAAAAAAUUUUAUGUACACUUUUAUGGAAAUAGAUUCAAUAAAAGCAUAUUAUUAUCAUUAGAAGCUCCUUAGUACCAUGUUAAAUUCAAUGGAAGGUUCAUUUGGUUUGAUUAAUCUUGAAUUUACUUUCCUUACCUUCAUUUUAUCACAAUUUAUAAUUAAAAAUUAUAAUUAAAUAUUAUUUUUUUAUUAAUAUUACUUAUAAAACUCGAGAUUUAUUAGAAUAAUUAUAUUUAAAAUAAAUUAAUUAAAUAAUUUUAAUGAAUUAAAAUUAUAAUAUAAUUAUGAUUAUAUACUAUUUAGUGCUAUUAUUUUGUACAUUUUUUUUAAAAAUUAAGAUAGUUGUAGAGUUUUAUGAUCACAUUAUAAAUUUUUUAAAAUCAAAUUUUAUGUAUAUGGUUUAAAAAAUGAGCUUCGUUAAUAUAUAUAUAGAGCACUCAUAAAUAGAUAUAUAAAAAAAUACUUAUUUAUAUUCAGUUAGGUCAGUUAAUAAUAGCAUAAUUAAAUAUAAUAUAAUAACAUUUUGAAUGAUAUCAUACACAAAAUAAUAGUUAAAUACAUUUUGGACACUAAUUAAAUUCUAAAUUUUUCUUAAAAAUUUUUUUCAUUUGAUUAAUAUUUUUCUAUCUUAGGAUUAUGCGGACUGAAAAGUUUGGUCGAGUUGCAUCUCCAAGGAAAUCAUUUUUCUGGCCCUCUUCCAGAAUGUAUUGGCAACUUGACCAACCUCCAAUUUCUUGAUCUGUCAUUCAAUCAGUUGAGUGGAAACAUUCAAUCUAUUGUUUCUGAACUCACAUCCCUCAAGUAUUUGUUUCUUCAUGGCAAUGAGUUUGAAGGCUCAUUCUCAUUUAGCGCUUUGGCCAACCACUCAAAACUUGAAGCAUUUAUACUCUCUCCUGGAAAUAGCAGGCUAGAAGUGGAAACAGAAAAUCCAACAUGGUUUCCCGCAUUUCAACUCAAGUACAUUCGAUUAUCAAAUUGCAGCUUAAACGUGAGAACUAGAGCUAUUCCUAGCUUUCUUCAUUACCAGUAUGACAUACGCUUUAUUGAUCUUUCUCAUAAUACGUUGGUUGGAACGUUCCCCACUUGGAUCUUACAAAAUAAUUCCAAGUUAGUAGUUAUGAAUUUGAGAAACAACUCAUUCACAGGAACAUUUCAGCUGCCCAAUUUCAAGCAUGAUCUCGUUCAGUUAGAUAUUUCGAGCAAUAAUCUCACUGGUAUGCUGCCGAAGGAGUUUGGAGAGGUCCUCCCAAGACUGGAAUAUAUAAACAUGUCGAGGAAUAAUUUCGGUGGUAAUGUUCCUUCUUCAAUCAGUGAGACGACAUCACUAUCUAUUUUGGAUUUAUCCCAUAAUAAUUUCUCGGGAGAAUUGCCAAGAAGUCUGUUCGCAAAUUGUACCAUGAAUUGUGCACUGAUUCUAUCAAACAACAAUUUUCAAGGGAACGUUUUUCCUCAGGGUAUGAACUUGAGAAGCAUGACGGCAUUGGAUAUGAAAAACAACAACUUCAGUGCGAUGAAUAGCCGCAGCCGAUCAAGCCUCAGUUUUUUUGACAUAUCCAAUAACAAGGUAUCCGGUCCAAUUCCCAGACUUCUAUGUAAUCUGACCUAUCUUGUCUUUUUAGAUCUCUCAAAAAAUAGGUUGUAUGGAUUUAUGCCUUCCUGCUUCGAUUCUUCAUUAUUGCGCUUUCUGUUUUUACAAAAGAACAAUCUAAGUGGACCCAUACCCCAUGAGCUUCUCAGAAGUCCUAAUUUAGGGGCACUUGAUCUGAGGGAUAACAAUUUUUCUGGAAAUAUUCCAUCUUGGAUCGGUCAGUUCUCUGAAUUGCAUGUGCUUUCAUUGGGAGGGAAUGCAUUACACGGCCGUAUUCCUAAUCAGUUGUGUGAAUUAAGAAAUGCGAAUAUAAUGGAUCUUUCACGCAACUUACUUUUUGGUUCCGUACCUGCAUGCUUUAGUAACAUUUCUUUUGGCAAUAAUAUAUCAUUUGGGAUGAUGGAAG
rnacentral:lncRNA from 1 species